rnacentral:tRNA from 1 species
UGGCCCGUAGCUCAAUGGUUUAGAUGCACCGGACUUUUAAUCCGGGGGUUGAGGGUUCGAAUCUCUCCGGGCCAA